rnacentral:rRNA from 1 species
CGGCAGCACGGGUGCUUGCACCUGGUGGCGAGUGGCGAACGGGUGAGUAAUAUAUCGGAACGUACCUUAUUGUGGGGGAUAACGCAGCGAAAGCUGUGCUAAUACCGCAUAAUCCCUUAGGGGGAAAGCGGGGGACCGUAAGGCCUCGCGCAAUUAGAGCGGCCGAUACCUGAUUAGCUAGUUGGUGAGGUAAAGGCUCACCAAGGCGACGAUCAGUAGCUGGUCUGAGAGGACGACCAGCCACACUGGGACUGAGACACGGCCCAGACUCCUACGGGAGGCAGCAGUGGGGAAUUUUGGACAAUGGGGGAAACCCUGAUCCAGCAAUGCCGCGUGUGUGAAGAAGGCCUUCGGGUUGUAAAGCACUUUUGUCAGGAACGAAACGGUGGGGGCUAAUACCUCUUGCUAAUGACGGUACCUGAAGAAUAAGCACCGGCUAACUACGUGCCAGCAGCCGCGGUAAUACGUAGGGUGCGAGCGUUAAUCGGAAUUACUGGGCGUAAAGCGUGCGCAGGCGGUUGUGCAAGACAGAUGUGAAAUCCCCGGGCUCAACCUGGGAAUGGCAUUUGUGACUGCACGGCUAGAGUGUGUCAGAGGGGGGUAGAAUUCCACGUGUAGCAGUGAAAUGCGUAGAUAUGUGGAGGAAUACCGAUGGCGAAGGCAGCCCCCU